CUUGAAACUUUUCUGUACUUUUGAAAUCAUUUCCCCCAAAUUAACCUUUUCUUUAAAUGUCAAAACAAUAAAAUUCUUAAGCAAUCACAAAAAUAGGUGAAGCAGAAUCCAGGAAAGAGUGGAGCUGACCGGCGCAGCUCAAGGUGUGGGCAGGCAGGAGCCGAGCCCGAGAGAGGGGCCAGGGCCAGCAGGUGAGGACAGGGGAGCGCAGGCUGAGGGGGCGGAAGGACAUGGCACCCUGCUCCCGGGGGUCUUGAAAAGGCUCCGGAGGAGGCCAGAGGGGGUUAAGUGAGUGGGGGUGGGCCAAGGAGACAGGACAGGUUGGGCAAGGGCCAACUUCCAGGUGGUGGAAGAAGGAAGGAGUCAGCGGUCCAUCUGGAAGUGGGUGGAGCUGUGAGGACUAGGAUGGGAGUUAGUUCGGGGCUUCCCUGUAUCUGUGGGACAGGACUCAGAGGCGGCCUCCCCACCCCCUUUACCUCCACCCUGGCCCAGGGGAAGCCAGAGCAGGGCCAGGGGUGGAGGUAGAGGGGCACAGAGUUCCUCCAUGACAGUCCGCCUGCUGGGACCCCCACCCGCAGGGCCUGUGAUCCCACAGUGCCUCAGCCUCUCUCCAGCCCAGCCUCACCCUGGUGACCUGUCCAGUCUGUCCCCUCUUUGGUCCUCAAGCAACAGCUCUGUCUGGGCCCGGGCCUGCCUCUGCCCCCGACGACUGACAAUCCAUGGGCCUCCAUGUCUGUUCCUGAGGUCCCCCUUCCUCCCCCCGGACCCCCACUCACUCCUCCUCACGGUGUCUCGACAAGCUGCUGGGCCUCAGCCCAAACCCUCGGCCUCUGAGUCCUUGAAGGCCAGCCUGGGGGGCCUCCCGCCCUGCGGCCCUCUCCUCACUCCAGAGGGAAUUUCUGGCAAUUCCAGGCUCAGCUCACUGUGGCUGCCCGUUUUCCGGGGAGGAGACCAGGUCAGGUGCAGACGGUACCAGCCACACCCCCACCUCUGGCCCCUAGAUCCCCUCUGGGACCUUUCACCCCCCGCCCCCCCAGUAACCUGGGUCGUCCUCACCUCAAAUCAGAGGCCACAGGGCAGAACCCAACCUCUUCUGCCCACCCCUGCACUGCCCACACCCCAGGGGACACAUGUGCUGCACAGCGAGCCCUCCAGACGGCACCUUUGUCAUCUGCUCUGCCCUCAUCUGUCCCCACUGCCCACCGCUCGGCUCCCAUCUUACCUGACCUCUCAGUGUGUCCACUCAGUGUGGCUGGCUCCCCACCUGGCCCUCCGUCCAUCUUCUUCUGGCAUCCGUCUGACCUGUCCACCCCCCAGUUCCCUUGUGGACUCCCUGUCCCCAUCUGUCCCUAGGCCCUACCCGUGGCUUCCUCCUCACGCUCCUCGUGUGCCCGCGCCAGGACUCCAGGACACAUUUCCCAGAGGCCUGUGAUCAGGGAGUGGGGUACGGGGCUAACCAGCAAACCCCACAGCCUUCCUCCCAAGGCAGAACACAUACAACGCUGGCGACGCCCCGGAGCGAUGCACCCCAGGAAGCUGCAGGGAGAGAGGGGAAGCUGCGUGCCGACGUCCCGCCCAUCCCCGCUGUGGUGGCGCUCUGAUCACCUCCCUCCCAGCGUCUCUGAGCUUGGCCUGUGACCACACAGCCGCCCUGGAUGCCUCGGCUUGGGUUUCCCUCCCCAUCCAGAAUCCUCUCCCACCCUGACCUGCUCCUG
ensembl:lncRNA